AAAAUGUAAAAAUAUAUUUUUUCCAGUGUUGUCUAUAGCAUUCUCAGCAGGAUUAAACUUGAACGAUUUCAUUCAAGAAAAUAUAAAAUGAAGAUGGCAAAAAUAUUUAAACUGUAUUUUACGUUAAAACAUUUUAAAAGGAUAUUAUUUGGUUCUUCACAUUUGCUCUUUUUUCAAAUUUACAAUAAACAUGUAAAUCUGCAGUAGACCUUUAUAAUUUUAUUAAUAUUUUGUGUAUCUAAAAAAUUACCAAAAGAUCUGUGUGAUGGGGGGAAAAAUGUGCAAAAAUGGAUUUAUUAUAAAUAUAUUAUCUUUUUCUUUUUAAAGGAGAUAAUUUAGUUAUGCACAGUUACAAAAAUCCAGAAGAAAAACGUUAAAGAAAACAAAAAAAAUCAGUAAACAUUUCCUUUUUUCCAGUGUUGUCUAUAAUAUUCUCUGUAGUAUUAGAUUUGCUCCAUAAAAGAAAAAAAAAAGUAAAAUUAAGAUGACUUCAACUACAUUUUUAUGUAAAAAAAAUAUUUAAAAUUACAUUUUUUGAUUCUUCACGUUUGCUGUUUUCAGUGUGAUUUUACAAUAAACAUGUAAAUUCAAAAUACAUGUUUUUUUAUUUAUAUUUUCUGUAUUGUACAACACAAAAACCCUGGAAAAAAAUCAGCAAAAUGAGCCUGGCAAACUCCUGAAAAAGCUCUGUGUGGUCUCUCAUCUGUGGCCUUUAACUGCUCUGUAAUAUAAAAGUCAUUAGGAGGAACUGUAAAGAUCAAAGUCCUCAUUUCCAAACAGUGCAGCCACAAAUCCUCAGAAGUGAAAACUGCAGAAAUGAGGCGGCGGCAGCGAAUAGAAACCGAUUUGUGUGUCCACGAAACUUCACACGUGAUUGAAUGAGACAAAAGCCAGGAGAAACACUGUCAUCAUUAUUAUUCCUGAGCUGAAAGAGGGUCUGCUUCUCACCUGGCCGACACGUUUAACGGCCGCUAAUGACUUUAUGGAGCUGUUUGCAGGACCAUCCAGGAGAGGAGAGGGCAGUCUUUACCGGCAGCUUCAGCCUCACCUGGACCAUGAAAGGAGUCCAGCAGCAGCAGACAGAUUCUGUUCAGACGUGUGCCUGUCGGGUCAAAGCAAGUCUCAGGUCGAUGAGGACGAGUCCAAGAGGAGUCGAAGGUCUUGAGAAGCUUCUUGCAGACGCCAUCUUGAAACUAUGGGAGCUGUGGAGGGACAGAAACGGAACUAAAUGCUUCCACGGUGACGAAACCCUGCAAUGAAAAGAGCUUCUCCUGCAGUCCAGCCUCUAUGACCUCCAGUUUCUUGAUAAAUGUCUGAAAGGAUCUCCGUCUCUGCUGAUCUGUGAAGCUUCCCUGUGGAACCUGCAGCGGUUUUAAAUGGGGCUUUCUUCCCAGGUGCUGUGUGGAGCCCCCCCGGUCUUUAAUGGAGCUUCAAUUGCCAGAAGUUUACAGUCAUCCCUCCUCAGUUGUCGUCUUUUGUGUCCAUCCGUGUAAGUCUGCAGCAGAUCAAAGCCUCCGUCUCCCUGGAGAAUCCCCAGACAAAGACAGAAAUGUGGACUUUGUGGACCAAUGAUGGACUGAGCGCCAUAAUUAUCGACGCAGACGGCCCAGCUAAAGGCACAUUACACCUCACUUCCACCUCACGGCUUUUAACUUAUGCAAAGAGCCGAGAGGACACGGCGGCUAAUUUAGUGUUUUUACAAGAGCAGACUGGACACUUCAAACGAGACCACACACAGAGCGACAGGUAGGAAGUGAUCUGAUGAACUUCUGCUGACAUCUGGUGGAAGAACGGAGCAGAAACGACUGAUAGAAACAAGAAGAGGCAGCAGAUUUUUUUUUUUUUAUUGACUCAACACACAGAUUUGCUCAUGUUUUCCAGUUGAACAAUUAAACUUUUACGAGAAGAAAUCAUAUAACGGUAAAAGAAACGGAGAAUAUUAGGAGUAAAAUCGGUCAAAUAAGAAGAAAACGAACUGACAAGAGUUUUGAAAUGUUGGACUCUCAAACUUCUUGAAACUGAACUUCCUACUUUUUAUUAGUUUUUAUAAUUUCUUGGAUUUGCUACUUACACUUGAUUCCAUUUUUUUUGCAUCCUUUAAAAUAGUUUCUAUAUUUUCAUGUUUAUUGUUGAACCAAAACAAUUUCAGAUUUCUGACAUGUGGAUAUCUGCUAUUGUGAUUCUGAUUUCUGUUCUCAAAAUAUCACAUUCAUGUCAUAAUAUUCAUAUAAUAUCCGAGUGAAUUUCUGCAUAAUUUGUGGAAACACUCAGAGUUGGGCCUUUAGCUCUUAAGAGAGAGAAGUACUGAAACUUCUUCAGACAUCUUUGUAGUCCAGAACCAGUUGAAGUCUCAUUUUUGGUGUCUGUAGUCCCGCAGACUGCCAGCAGGUGGCGUCAUAUUAUAAAUAAAUAAUGAAGUCUGUCUGUAGCCGCUGCUGUGACGCCAGGAAUCACUAGAGGAUUUAUAUAUAGUCUGUGAUAUGAAUUAAUGCAAAUUUACCAGCAUUUUUUGCAACUUUAUGGAGAUUUUUUUAGUUUUCUGUAGAUAAAUUUGAGGAAAUUAACAAACUAUUAAAGAUGCAGCGUGAAGAUUUACUGGCAGUCCACCUUUAAGAUUUACAAAGAUACUAAACAGCUGAUAUGUUACUGAAAUUAUGGCAUUAAACUGAAUGUAAUGGUCA